rnacentral:tRNA from 2 species
GCGGGUGUGGCGGAACUGGCAGACGCGCAGGAUUCAGGUUCCUGUGGGAGAUAAUCCCGUGGAGGUUCGACUCCUCUCACCCGCA